rnacentral:rRNA from 1 species
UACGUAGGGUGCGAGCGUUAAUCGGAAUACUGGGCGUAAAGCGUGCGCAGGCGGUUCGUUGUGUCGGCGGUGAAAGCCCCGGGCUCAACCUGGGAAUGGCCGUUGAAACUGGCGAACUGGAGUGUGGCAGAGGGGGGUGGAAUUCCGCGUGUAGCAGUGAAAUGCGUAGAGAUGCGGAGGAACACCGAUGGCGAAGGCAGCCCCCUGGGCUGACACUGACGCUCAGGCACGAAAGCGUGGGGAGCAAACAGG